rnacentral:lncRNA from 1 species
AUGUUGUGAAUGCUUAUCUGUACCAUAGGAAUAAAUAGAUACCACUGUGUGGGGCAAGCAACUAGUAACUUGGUUAAUAAUCAUUUAACCUCAGCAUUCUCCCAGACCACAACCCCACCUCUUUGGGGGUGGUUGGGGCACUGAAAUCCCAAAGUAACCCAAAUGUGGUUGCCCAGUUUUAGGUUUCCUUUGCAGUAACUGCAGGACCACCAUCCAAAUGGAUGGUCCUGGGAUUAUCAAAUGCAUACUAAGGAAGUGAG